rnacentral:rRNA from 1 species
CAGUAGCCGCGGUAAAACGGAGGGUGCAAGCGUUAAUCGGAAUUACUGGGCGUAAAGCGCACGCAGGCGGUCUGACAAGUCAGAUGUGAAAUCCCCGGGCUUAACCUGGGAACUGCAUUUAAAACUGUCAGGCUGGAGUCUUGUAGAGGGGGGUAGAAUUCCAGGUGUAGCGGUGAAAUGCGUAGAGAUCUGGAGGAAUACCGGUGGCGAAGGCGGCCCCCUGGACAAAGACUGACGCUCAGGUGCGAAAGCGUGGGGAGCAAACAGGAUUAGAUACCCCGGUAGUCCCUGUCUCUUAUAC